AACCGAUGCUAAUACCGGAUGUGCCGAGAGGUGAAAGGCUUGCUGCCUGAAGAAGAGCUCGCGUCUGAUUAGCUAGUUGGUGGUGUAAGGGACUACCAAGGCGACGAUCAGUAGCUGGUCUGAGAGGAUGAUCAGCCACACUGGAACUGAGACACGGUCCAGACUCCUACGGGAGGCAGCAGUGGGGAAUUUUCCGCAAUGGGCGAAAGCCUGACGGAGCAAUACCGCGUGAGGGAGGAAGGCUCUUGGGUUGUAAACCUCUUUUCUCAAGGAAGAAGUAAUGACGGUACUUGAGGAAUCAGCAUCGGCUAACUCCGUGCCAGCAGCCGCGGUAAUACGGAGGAUGCAAGCGUUAUCCGGAAUGAUUGGGCGUAAAGCGUCCGCAGGUGGUUGUGUGUGUCUAUUGUCAAAGCAUCAUGCUUAACAUGAUAAAGGCAGUAGAAACUACACGACUAGAGUGCGUUCGGGGCAGAGGGAAUUCCUGGUGUAGCGGUGAAAUGCGUAGAGAUCAGGAAGAACACCGGUGGCGAAAGCGCUCUGCUAGGCCGCAACUGACACUGAGGGACGAAAGCUAGGGGAGCGAAUGGGAUUAGAUACCCCAGUUAGUCACACAGUUACUCACGCGUUUUG
rnacentral:rRNA from 1 species